rnacentral:rRNA from 1 species
GACAGAGGUGGCGAGCGUUGUUCGGAUUCAUUGGGUGUAAAGGGCAGGUAGGUGGCUAUACAAGUCUGGCGUGAAAUCCCACGGCUCAACCGUGGAACGGCGCUAGAAACUGUAUGGCUUGAGUACUGGAGAGGUGAGGGGAAUUCUCGGUGUAAGGGUGAAAUCUGUAGAUAUCGAGAGGAACACCAGUGGCGAAGGCGCCUCACUGGCCGGUUACUGACACUGAUCUGCGAAAGCAAGGGGAGCAAACAGA